GCCUCCAGACUUGUAAAGAAUAGAGACAAUAGAUGCCUGUACAGGUACAGGCCAGCUGGCUGUGCACUAUACUGCACAAUUCCACAUGAUGAGCAAGUGAGGUGACCAGGGCGACCCAGACUGUUGUGUAUAAUACAUACUUAUGUAUAUAAUUCCUGACGAAUGUGGUUUUGUGCCUACCCAUGCAGUACAAGCUUCUAUCCCCAAUGAUGGCAAAUAGAUGCUGAUGGCAUGAAUAAUGAAGUCAGAGAGAUAUCCAAAAAAAGGAAAGGUGUGAUUUAACAAUGGACAGGGAUCAUGUAAAAGCUCAUAACAUUUACAGCGUCUGAACCUCAAAACAGCAAGUAAAAUCCUUAAACAGCAGUUCAGCAAAUUAUGUAAUGGCAACAGCCAGUAACAUGAUGGAACUUCCUUUCAGCAUGUCCCUGCUCGUAACAGCUUUCAACGCCUGUUAGCAACUACACCCUAUGGCAUAAACAUGCCGGUUACCGACCGUUUGGGGCCCAUUAACCCAACCGGCCGGUUGAAUGGCGUUAACGGCCCGGUUGGGUUAACGGUCGGUUGGGUUAACGAUCAGCUGGGUUAACGGUCGGUUGGGUUAAUGGGCCCCAAACGGUCGGUAACCGGCAUGUUUAUGCCAUAGGGUGUAGUUGCUAACAG
rnacentral:lncRNA from 1 species